rnacentral:piRNA from 1 species
UGUAAUGAUGGCAUUCUGGUUCAUGGGGU